UACAGGGGCCUCGAGCGUUAAUCGGAAUCACUGGGCUUAAAGGGUGCGCAGGCGGUCCGGAAAGUGUCCUGUGAAAUCCCACGGCUCAACCGUGGAACCGCGGGGCAAACUUCCAGACUUGAGGAAGGUAGAGGCUGUUGGAACGAUAGGUGGAGCGGUGGAAUGCGUAGAGAUCUAUCGGAACGCCAAAGGUGAAGACAGACAGCUGGGCCUUUCCUGACGCUCAUGCACGAAAGCGUGGGGAGCAAACCGG
rnacentral:misc_RNA from 1 species